UACGAAGGGGGCUAGCGUUGCUCGGAAUUACUGGGCGUAAAGCGCACGUAGGCGGUCUUUUAAGUCGGGGGUGAAAUCCUGGAGCUCAACUCCAGAACUGCCUUCGAUACUGGAAGACUUGAGUCCGGGAGAGGUGAGUGGAACUGCGAGUGUAGAGGUGAAAUUCGUAGAUAUUCGCAAGAACACCAGUGGCGAAGGCGGCUCACUGGCCCGGUACUGACGCUGAGGUGCGAAAGCCAGGGGAGCAAACGGG
rnacentral:rRNA from 1 species